CUGGCCAGGCUGGGGGCGGGGCUCCAGGGGCUCCGCCCCCGAAGGGUCACGUGUCUUGCCGGUCCGUUCCAAGGCUGAGGUCCUGGCGCUCCAAAACGCCUCAGGCCACUCAAGAUCCCGUCCCUCUAAGGAGCAAACAGCCUUAUCUGGCCCAGGAGAGCAAUGUCCAGAGGUCAGAGGACCGCUGCUACGAAAGAUCACGGGGCUGCCUGCCAAGGAAAUCUGUGAUGAUUCUAAAUUAACCCCGGGUGGAGGCAGAGGCUCCACACCAGAGCUCCUUCUGUAUUCCGGUUUCCAACUGAAGAGCUUCAUUGCUUGAAGGAGCAGUGUUUCCCAGCUGCUUGUUGUAGCUAAGCUCCAGGUCAGGAUGGCUGAGGUGGGUAUUUCCUUCUACUGAACCCCUGCUCAUUCUACUUUACUCCAUGCUGAGAGAGGCCUGGGGCCCUGGCCAUUCCUGCUCCCUUCAGCAAAGCAAGCCUAGAGGACCUGCGGCCAGCUCCUCCUCCACCCAUCACUUAGUUCCUAGCUAGGUAGGCGUGUCUUUCCUUGAUCCUCUUAAAGGGAGAAAGAAGCAGAUCAGAAGAGCAUUUCUAACCUUCUUGGAAGGAACUUGUCGCAGAAUAUUCCUUUACACUGUGUGAGGAUGUGUCACUGUGACCGUUUUAAUAAAGAGCUAAAUGGCCAAUAGCUAGGCAGCAAGAGGUUAGGCGGGACUUCUUGGAAGAGAGAGGGCUCUAGGAUGAAGACAAGUGGAGUUGCUAGUCAGUGAUGGAAGACAGAUAACGCCACAAGGCAGAACAUAGAUUUAGUAUAAAGGGGUUAGUUGAAGUCAUAACAAUAGGUAGAAACAAGAUCUGUUAUUUGUGAGCUGGUGGCUAAUGAAAAAGUAUAACUACAGGAACUGACCUCACAUGCAACAAGAGAGGCAAGAACCGGCAAGAGGAACUGGGAGGAGAUUCAGGAUACAGCCUGUGAGCAGGGCAGUUUCUAGAACACUGGGAAGAGGCCUCUUGUGAUCAAAACUAAUACCAGUGACUUCAAAAACUUCCCUUAAAUGAACCUUGAUUUGUUUAGCUUGUAGAAAAAUUGGCGUCACUGGGUCUCACUGAUGAACAUUAAUUAGGCGAGUCUGUUACCCAGGUAAGUGAACACAGAGAAUUAAAGUCACAGAAAAAUGUAUCAUGCAGACAGCGACUGUUCUUGCUCUUUGAUCCCUUUUUUCUCUCCCUGAUUUCACCUCCUUCCUAUUUAUUCUCUGUGUCCGCUAGGCCUGCCUAUUGGCCAUUCAGCUCUUUAUUAGACCAACCAGGUGUUUUAGACAAAGUGCCAAUGCUUCACAGAGUUAAACAAAUGCAAAAUAAAAGAAUGCAACGUAUCUUUGCGCCAUUGAACAAAUGUUCCACAGCAUCAGCACAUUUAAAAAAUAUCCCACGACAGUAUGCUACUUUAAAAAUGUAUUAAAAGAGGUGGGAGGGGGCUGGAGAAGUGGCUCGGUGAUUAAGAUCAUAUGCUGCCUGGUUUCAGUUCCCAGCACCUACGUACAUGGCAGCUGAUAACUCCAGCUAUAAACCGGAUAAACUACAUACAUGGCAGUUUAUAACUCCAGUUCCAGGGGACCCAGAGCUCUUCUGGCCUCCUUGGGCAUCUUGCACAAAAUACGCAUACAUACAUGCAAACAAAACCCUCAUACACAUCUGAAAAAAAAAGAGGUGGUGGUCAAAAGCAAUGAAGUGUGAGAGGGCAGAGGGAAGUUAACUGAGUUUUGUUGUUUCCAUGUCCUAAAUACGUCCAGAAGCCAAACUAAAUAAUCUCCAUACCAUCACAGCUAUGUGUAAAAUACAUAACAAGGCCAGAAGAGGGCACCAGAUUCCAUUACAGAUGGUUGUGAGCCACCAUGUGGUUGCUGGGAAUUGAACUCAGGACCUUUGGAAGAGCAGGCAAUGCUCUUAACCUCUGAGCCAUCUCUCCAGCCCCGACAAGGAUUCUGUGUAGCUGUCUGUCCUGGAACAUGCUUUGUAAACUAGGCUGGCCUGAAAUUCAGAGAUCCAUCUGCCUUUGACUUUCCCAAGUGCUGGUAUUAUGAACCUGAAAAGAGUACAUCUUUCCUUUCUUUGUGGGCUGUAUAGAUACUGAACCUGGGACCUCAUGUGUUGUAGAAUCCUCUAAAGACGCCACUGCACCCAGACAGCAGGAAGUAAAUUCAAGAAUACAACAAGAGUUCCCAAGAGUGAGACAUGUCUGCUCAUGGCAUCACCAAUCUACUUCAGAGAAAAUGAUGGGCAUCUUCUUAUUAAGACCUAUUAGAACUUGUGCUACACGAACUUGGACAAUACAAUUAUCUAGUCAUCUCCUCCAAUCUGAGCUGUCGUCAUCACUAUGCUGCUCCAUUCCUACACACUGAAAGUGUCAAAAUACUAAUUUCUUGGGGA